GCGAACCAAACCCGCACAGAACAAUCCCCGUGCCCUCUGUGCUCAAGGAGACCCGGAGAACCUGAUUAGUGGUAAACAGCCCAGAC
rnacentral:lncRNA from 1 species